rnacentral:rRNA from 1 species
UACGGAGGGUGCAAGCGUUGUUCGGAAUCACUGGGCGUAAAGCGCGUGUAGGCGGCUAUCUAAGUCUGAUGUGAAAGCCCUGGGCUCAACUCAGGAAGUGCAUUGGAUACUGGAUAGCUGGAGUACCGGAGAGGAGGGUGGAAUUCCUGGUGUAGCGGUGAAAUGCGUAGAUAUCAGGAGGAACACCAAUUGCGAAGGCAGCUCGCUGGGACGUUACUGACGCUGAGACGCGAAAGCGUGGGGAGCAAACAGG